UCUGACAGAAUCUCUGACCACUAUAUAUGAAGUCAGCAGGAGAGGACANNNNNNNNNNUCCCCAUUAGCUGUUGCAAAAGCAGCAGCUACCCCUCCUGCGGUCAACACAAAACAUGACACAUAAUUGUCACGUCUCUCGUCGGAAGGCAUGGACCAAAGCGCAGAGUGUUCCACUCAGCCCCGUUGUUUUCCUGAAGUCCACCAGCAGCACAGACAACCUCUUCAUACCCAGCAGUAAGUGCUCUACAGAAACCCAGCCCAAGCCGAUAAAGCAAGCUGUAUGCUAGACCAGACCAAGCUGUACCAUCUGGUGUUCUGAUCUGGAGAGACUCUUCUCUGCCUUGUCAGCAUCAGGAUGUUGUUGAGGCUCCCCAGAGGAUCCACCAUAGUCAUGUCUCUCUCCUGUGUGAAUGAGAACAUCAAACAGAUGGUAAACUUAUGAUCUUCUAUUGCAAUCACAGAGUCUUACAAGAGGCAUGACUAUGUCUAAAAAGGGCCUAAAAUGGCCACUUGCAUCUUGAUUUCCUAAAAAAAUAUUUGUGAUGCAAAUGUAAAAGGGUUGUUCCACAAAAUGGGUGCCUUUUUUAUAUUUUAAGUAGAACAUACGCAGCAAUAUUGAAUUUUAAGACUGUUAUACUAGAUGAGGGGAACUUUAAUGCCGACCACAUGGAGAAUUCAAUACAUCUAAUUGAAAAGUCGCAAAAGUAUAUGAACCAAUGGCAGAUCGACCAUUUAACAAUUCCUACAGUAAGAAUGCCCAUUAAAAACCCCACAUUAGUUCAACAACUGCAUAGUUUGUGUCCCUGUUUUUAAGACAGUACUCACUGGUGUCAAUCGGAUCUUCUGUCUCCUCCUUUUUCACUCUCAAAACGUCUUCCUCCUUCACGUAUAUUAAGAUAGCAUCCUCUUCCUCUCUAAAGGGUUCGUUCUCUUCUUUCACUAUAACAGCCUCCUCUUCCUCCUUUUUCAUUCUGAAAGAUUCUUUCUCCAAACAGCAGACCUCCGCUUCAUUAGCAAGGGAGGAGUAGUUCAGUGAGCUCAUGGUCAGGGAUGUUAGCUAGCUAGCUAGCUAGCAUUAGCGACUAGCCUAGUGCUAACCUCAGUAUCAAUCUUUAACAAGUUUGCAAAUUGAACAAGCACAUUAGGUUAAAGUUCACCAGUAGAUACGUCAACCGAAAUUUGUUUAAAACACUGAGAUUAGCUCAUGUACAAUAACAUGGUCUAAAGAAUCAAUAUUUUAGUUUUAUGUUGUCUAGCAAGCUACCGAGGUGGUUGAAAGAGUUUGCGCCUUGUUGUUCCUGAAGAAGCGUCCCGUCCAGUCCAUUAUACGUCAUCAAGAAGCAUCACCUGAAAGACGCCCAUCGCCAUCUGCUGACUGGAGUGGGUAACGCAGUUUGGAAACAAUAGUUACGACACUUAUUGUAUUGGAAAGAAAAAGAAAGAACGUCAUAAUAAUUUAACAAUUAGCUGAUAUAUUUUCUCUUACGUCUUUCAAAUUAUACUUUCCUGUACACAGACGUAGAAGCUUAAUAUGAAUAUGUGGAUGAUGAAUAAAUACUUAUACGAAUAGGUAGUGUGUUAAAACACAUUUGUGUUAUUACUCUGUUAAUUUUUCACAUUUGUUUUUAUUAGAUGUGACCAUACUUUUCCCUUAAAGCCACGCUCUAUACGAUACAAAUCAUACUGUAAACAACAGAGCAAAUGCAUCACAUGCAAAUAGCACUUGAUUAUCUGUAGUGCUUUACACUGGGUAGACAAAACAUUAAGAACAGCUGCUCCUUCCAUGACUUAGAAAGACUAGGUGAAUCCAGGCUAAAGCUAUGAUCCCUUACUGAUGUCACUAGUUAAAUCCACUUCAAUCAGUGUAGAU
rnacentral:lncRNA from 13 species